rnacentral:rRNA from 1 species
AGGAGAAAGCUUGCUUUCUUGCUGACGAGUGGCGGACGGGUGAGUAAUGCUUGGGAAUCUGGCUUAUGGAGGGGGAUAACGACGGGAAACUGUCGCUAAUACCGCGUAGUGUCGAGAGACGAAAGUGCGGGACUGAGAGGCCGCAUGCCAUAGGAUGAGCCCAAGUGGGAUUAGGUAGUUGGUGGGGUAAAGGCCUACCAAGCCUGCGAUCUCUAGCUGGUCUGAGAGGAUGACCAGCCACACUGGAACUGAGACACGGUCCAGACUCCUACGGGAGGCAGCAGUGGGGAAUAUUGCGCAAUGGGGGGAACCCUGACGCAGCCAUGCCGCGUGAAUGAAGAAGGCCUUCGGGUUGUAAAGUUCUUUCGGUAUUGAGGAAGGUUGAUGUGUUAAUAGCACAUCAAAUUGACGUUAAAUACAGAAGAAGCACCGGCUAACUCCGUGCCAGCAGCCGCGGUAAUACGGAGGGUGCGAGCGUUAAUCGGAAUAACUGGGCGUAAAGGGCACGCAGGCGGUUAUUUAAGUGAGGUGUGAAAGCCCCGGGCUUAACCUGGGAAUUGCAUUUCAGACUGGGUAACUAGAGUACUUUAGGGAGGGGUAGAAUUCCACGUGUAGCGGUGAAAUGCGUAGAGAUGUGGAGGAAUACCGAAGGCGAAGGCAGCCCCUUGGGAAUGUACUGACGCUCAUGUGCGAAAGCGUGGGGAGCAAACAGGAUUAGAUACCCUGGUAGUCCACGCUGUAAACGCUGUCGAUUUGGGGGUUGGGGUUUAACUCUGGCGCCCG